UUACUACUCAAAAACUGCAUUGCAACAGAAUUCUCAAGUUUGACAGCAAUAACGGAUAAUUCAGACACCUGAUGAUUGGAGAACCAAUCUGACUACAUUGACUAAAUGUUCCAAGAACUCAUCAACAUAAAACAAGAAUGCAAGAUAAAGUAUGAAGCCGCCAAAGCCACUUAAGUAGUAAGCUCCAUUAUAGCACUAACAA
rnacentral:misc_RNA from 1 species